rnacentral:tRNA from 1 species
GGGUCGUUGGUGAAAUCGUGUAUCACUCUUGGCUUUUACCCUUGAGUUCCGGGUUCGAGUCCCGGGCGGCCCACCA